rnacentral:rRNA from 1 species
GACGAACGCUGGCGGCGUGCUUAACACAUGCAAGUCGAACGAACUCGGACUCCGGUCCACAUGAGUGAGUGGCGAACGGGUGAGUAACACGUGAGAAACCUGCCCCGAAGUUCGGAAUAACUCAGAGAAAUUUGAGCUAAUACCGGAUGCCCUCUUUCAGUCGCAUGGCUGAAUGAGGAAAGAUUUAUCGCUUUGGGAGGGUCUCGCGACCUAUCAGCUAGUUGGUGAGGUAACGGCUCACCAAGGCAUCGACGGGUAGCUGGUUUGAGAGAACGAUCAGCCACACUGGAACUGAGACACGGUCCAG